GCGUCGGUAGUGUAAAGGUUUAGCACAUGCUCCCGAAAAGAGUAAGAUCUGGGUUCGAAUCCCAGCUGACGCA